CUUUGACGCCGCUCUUCCUCCCCGCGCGAGGAGAGAGCCGGCGGCGGCUCGGCUGCUCCGACCUAGUGCCGACGCCAUGGAACCCUUCAAGGUCCGUCCAACACCCCGGAUUCGAUCUGAUUCGCUCCGAGGCUCUGGAUUUGGGGAUUUCUAUGAAACACGUACGGUGUGCGCCCCCAGCACUCUGGAUCCCAUCUGAUUUGCUCCAAGGCGCUGGAUUUGGGGAACUCUCUGAAGCACGUAUAUGACCAGUGAUGCUUGCUGUGAUUCUGGCUGUGCAUCUUCUACCUCCUGCUUCGGGCCCUGGACACCUUUGAGGACGGCACCAACGAGUCCGUUGUCCUGCAACCGCGCUCACUUGGCCGCCUGUCGCCUUGCCCCUCCGGUGGCCGCUUUCUUCUUUGACUCCGGGUAGGUGUGUGCGCCCAGCACUCCGGAUCCAAUCUGAUUCGCUCCGAGGCGCUGGAUUUGGGGAACACUCUGAAACAUCGACUAGUCUGAUUGCAGAGGACGACAUCAGCUUCCCUAAAGAUGUGAAGCUGCCCAUCCUUAAUGGUUUCUACUGCCAUAUCUACAACUCCGACUGGAUUUAUCAUUGUAUUGGAUCUCUCUUUAUGUGGCGCUCACUCUGACACCUCCGCCAUAGAGGACAACGUCAGCAUCCCUCGAGAUGUGAAGCUGUCCAUCCUUAAUGGUUUCUAUCACCAUAUCUACAACCCUGACCGGAGUUAUCAAUGUAUGGGAUCUCUCCUUAUCUGACGCCUUCGGCAUAGGGUCAAUAGGAGGUUGGAUUAGUGGGUUAUAGUUGAACAAUCUGUUCUUGCUUCUGUUGAGGCUGAUGUUGAUAACAAGGUAGAUGAUAGGUAAGAUAGAAGAGAUUGCAAAGGAGCUU